rnacentral:rRNA from 1 species
CCUACGGGUGGCAGCAGUGGGGAAUAUUGGGCAAUGGAGGCAACUCUGACCCAGCAACGCCGCGUGAGCGAUGAAGGUCUUCGGAUUGGAAAGCUCUUUAAGCGGGGACGAAGAAAGUGACUGUACCCGCAGAAUAAGCCUCGGCUAACUACGGGCCAGCAGCUGCGGUCAUACGUAGGGGGCAAGCGUUAUCCGGAAUGACUGGGCGUAAAGGGUGCGUAGGGGGUUGGGCAAGUUCGUAGCGUAAUACCGGGGCUCAACCUCGGUGCUACUACCAAAACUGUUGAACUUGAGUGGAGGAGAAGUGAAUGGAAUGCCUAGUGUAGCGGUGGAAUGCGUAGAUAUUGGGAAGAACACCAGCGGCGAAGGUGAUUCACUGGACUGUAACUGACACUGAGGCACGAAAGCGUGGGGAGCGAACAGGAUUAGAUACCCUUGUAGUC